rnacentral:misc_RNA from 1 species
CAGGCCAGGCCAAGCAGUUUUGGCUUGGUUGGUUGAGCUGAGCGAAGCCGGGCCAAGCUGAGUACAAUCCACUUUGUGUCAGGCCCGCGUUACCCACGUGCGCGCUGAGCCCGUUGACUGUCAUAUUUGGUUCGAUAUAAUGUUCGCGCUAGUUCGCUUUCUAGAUAGUGACCAUGCACAUGACACUCGUAGAUAUGUUGUGCGAGUGGAGGAUAUCCAUGAUUUUCAUCCGAAGCACGAGACGGAUUUCGAUGGCAAGGCAGUGUAUGUCGUUCACUGGGAGGAUGAAGCAAACGGUGACGACACGGGUGAAUAUAAAGCCCAGAUACUUCGACUUGGCGCCACAGAGAAAGAAGCUCGGGAAUCGCCAAAAAGAAUUCCGAUCCCUAAAAUUGCAGUUGAGGAAGGCUCGGACGUUGAAGGAGCUGUGACCAAGAAGGCCACUGCUGCAAGAAUGAAAAAAACAGCUGUCAACCGAACUGCAGCAAAAAAAGACCGGUACGAGCAGAUCUUGAAAAAGCAGAUGAGCCACGCUCUCCGACAGAACUCGGAACAAACUCGAAAAACGCGACUGAGUUCAUCAUCAAGCUCGGAUGACUCUCUCGUGUCCAGCUCAGAAGUAACAGAAGAGAAGAAAAAAACCAAAUUUUGGAAAAAGAGAUGCAAGGAGCUGCGGCAAGACAACAUCUUCUUGCAAGAACAAGUUAGCUCACAGCAGGUGCUGUUAAACUCAAAAUUUCUGAGGUUUGAAGACCUGCAGCACAGCAAAGAGGCUGACGUUGAGAGCUGCACUGUACAAGCUAGAAAGGAGACAGCAAAGGCCACAAGCAACCUAGUAAAGUCCAUUCAAGAGACUGUGCCUGGGUCACCGAAUGCUGGCAGUCUACACUCACGAAGUGCCAUUGAUGACUUCAUAGAGGAACCUCCCACUUCGAUGACUGCAUGUGCAGCAAAAGAAUCUGAUGACCUGCCUAGUCCAAGGAAAUGUUUUUCAUAUUUAGAAGAUGGCUCUAUCCCUUCACAUUGACAUCCCGUAUAAUCAUGUGAUUUUGGGACAUGAAACCCAUGAUAUUAUUAUAAGCCGUGUGAAACAAACUGCCUGCCGAACAGCUCAGAGGUGCCUCCACAAUAACGAUGUGCAGCUACUUGGCAUGUUGCCAAUGACAGUGGUGCAAAACAGCAGCAGUUGUUGUUUCAUCUUCAAAAGGGCAUCUGCCUGACGCCUAUUCAGGCAAAAAGAAUUCUGUCUCACAAGAAGGCAAGGCUGGUGGUGAAGGAAACGGCACAAGCCAUAUGGUCCCAGAAAGGGCUAGCGUCACGCAGUGUUAAAGGUGGCGUAGCUCCAGGAAGAAGGAACCUCGGCGAGGUUGCAAAGCCUGCGCUGACACCUGAAAAGGUCGCGGUUCUGGAAGAAACACUCAACCAUUGGUCGCAUGUGACAGGCGCCGACUCGUCCAUUGCAGCCCGAAACUUGACCAGCAUACUAACUGAAAAAAUUCAGGAUUGCAUCAAGGCAGAGCGACGAAAACCUCCACAGUAAAUGUACUGCGAAAUGCAUUCAAUCCAUAGAUAACCCAACGAAGACCAAAGACUAGGGCUGUGCAAUGUUUUUUCUGCAUUAAUAAAUAGAAUCGUCUCAUAUACACUCAACAUAA